CGACUGGGUGAUUGAAUGGGGCUUUUGAUUAAUUAGCCAUUUAAUGAGAAGUUAUUUGUUUAGUAAGCAAACGUACUAACCUUUACCUGCUACCUGAAAUGUGACGCAUCCCAUGAAGCUGACAGGUGACAUUCCGAUCAUAGAAAGAUAUUGUUCGUGUUUAUUCUCACUCAGUCAGUGAAGUAGUGCGGAAGUAGGCAGUAUUUAGGGUAAGUGUUAGGUCAGAAUUUAAAGCUCAUGCCGAGGACGAACAGCACUUCUCCAGGUAAUGCAAGUUUUCUCCCCUGGAUCUGGACUCAGUGGUGGCGCGCAAAAUGAAACACAGGAGACAGGGAAGCAUUGAACUACUGGAAGUGAUUGGGGUGGUGAAAAAGGAAAAUGUCAGUGGGAGCCUUUCUACGCUUCCUUUGCACUCCCCAAAAUCCUUCGACUAUAUUCUGGUGGCCCAGGAAACAGAUAAAGAUACUAGAAAAGGGGGAUUCAAGAAGAAAUUGGAGUUCAUCAACGCUUUGAAGGACAAGAACUUACAGAUAACGAAAAUUGCAGAUGAUGACAAAGUUUUUUAUGGGAUCAAAGCCCCGAAAGAGAUUUUCGAGACGUACCGAUAUCUGCUUAAAGUGUCUGAUGCGUGUAACUGGAGCUGUGAGCAGCAGGGAAGUAUACCACAAUCAACAAGGAUACGGAUAGUGGACUACAUCCUGCACCACACCUGUAUAGACACCAGUGGUGCUCCAGAGUAUCUAUCAGACCUCAUUAAACAGGACGUAUUUCAGGCACAGUUUUGUCUCCAUGAGAAAAAGGAACAGAAAGAACUGAGAAAGAGUUGGGCUAGAUGGACUGCCUGCUUUAAUGGGCAACCCAUAACUGAUGUAAGACACUACUUUGGAGACAAAGUGGCUCUGUAUUUCCUAUGGCUGGGCUGGUACACGUUUCUGCUCAUCCCUGCUGCACUGCUGGGGGUCAUUGUCUUCCUUUAUGGCCUAUUUUUAUUCAACCCCAACCCUCUAAUACAGGAGGUGUGUGAAUCAAACAUUAUAAUGUGCCCACUGUGUGAUAAGAGAUGUAAGGUCUGGAGGCUCUCGGAUACAUGCGCAUAUGCAAAGGUGAGCACAUUGUUUGACAACGAAGGAACAGUCGCAUUUGCUAUGUUCAUGGCAGUUUGGGCUACUGUGUUUCUAGAGUUCUGGAAACUCCACACAGCCUCAUAUGUCAGUGAGUGGAAAGUUUUUGACUGGUGUGAAGAAGAGGAGGAGCUGAUACUGGAGAUAGUGAAUAAUCAUAACUGCAAGUCGAUGAAGUACAGUCACUCAUACCUGCGCAGUACACUAAUACUGGUGCUAAUGACGCUCAUGUUGCUUCUGAUCAUUGGAUUGGCACAGGCCAUCGUGGUGUUCAGGGUAAUAGCCAGUGUAGAGUUUGCUAAGCACACCAAAUGGCCUUUUCUCAGUGAACACAGCAACACCGUGGCUUUCAUGCUGGGAGCAGUGCUGCACUUCCUCACAAUAACCAUCAUGACCCGGAUCAAUCGCAAAGUGGCCCUUAAAUUAUGUGAACUAGAAAAGGUGCGUUCACAUGCUGCUGUUGAAAGAAGCUUCACAGUGAAGAUGUUUACCUUCCAGUUUUUCACUCUUUUCUCCUCACUUAUAUACACUGCAUUCUUUCUUGGCAGGAUAAAUGGACAUCCAGGUGGAUAUGUGAGGAUAGCAGGAAUCUGGAGAUUAGAGGAGUGUCACCCUAGUGGAUGUCUGACUGACCUGUUCAUCCAGAUGGCCAUCAUCAUGCUGCUCAAACAGUUCAUCAGCAACGUGUUUGAGUUUUCAGGCCCCUGGUUCAGACGGUGGCUGAAAAGGCGACAGAGUCGGAAGGUGACGAAGGUUCGACAGUGUUCAGAGAAGGACUGUUUGGGGCGUACAGGAAGUGCUAGUCUGUGUGACAACUGUAAUCUCAAGGACUUACUCUGGAACUUUGACCUUAAUAAUGUGGACCCCUUCAGCCUCUUCAAUGAAUUCCUAGAGAUGGUGCUCCAGUUCAGUUUCACCACCAUCUUUGUGGCUGCAUUUCCUCUGGCUCCUCUGCUCGCUCUGCUUAACAACAUCAUUGAGAUCAGAAUGGACGCCAUUAAAAUGGUCAGUCUGGAGCGAAGACUGGUUCCCAGGAAGGCUAAAGACAUUGGUGUUUGGACAGAUGUUCUGGAAACAAUUGGUGUGCUAGCUGUCAUUGCCAAUGGGCUAGUCAUUGGCAUAUCCUCUGAUUUUAUCCCUCGGUUGGUGUAUCGCUACCGCUAUGGCCCCUGCGCUAAUUCCACUGGUAGUGGUAUUGAAUGUAUGUCAGGUUAUAUUAAUAACACUCUCUCUAUGGCUGAUACAAAUGAUGAAAAAAUCAGAAGAGACUUUUUUCCCCAGCAACUCAUUCACAAUGACAUGAAUGUGACACGCUGCAGCUAUAGAGACUAUAGGAGUAAUGAUGAUUACACUUUGACCAAUCAGUUUUGGGUCAUUCAGGCAGUCCGCUUUGCCUUCGUUGUCAUUUUUGAGGCAGCAUGUUGUGGUGAUGUGUAAGUGCAUCGCAGGAUGGUUUGUCCCAAGUUCUCCCUUAGAGGUGAAAAAUACAAGACUGCAAGACAAACUCAAAAGACUGAAAGAAGAACUACACAAAAUCAUAAAGGAAUGACAAACUGAGUAAAUGCUCCAAACCAGAAGACAGAAGAGGAACAAUCAGCAGCAGAAUAAACUGGACUACAGAAUGUCAAAUUCUGACCCUGUCCAUUCAGUGAAGUGUGAAGUGUUCAUUCAGUCCUUUAUUAUUAUGGUGAUUAUUGACAUUCUCUUUAAUUUCUUUGUCCACUACAUUUUUUGUAUCUACAAUGCACUGUGUAUGUGUGUGUGUGUGUGUGUGUGUGUGUUGGGUGUGUAUUUUUCUAUUUUCAUUACAUACAGAAUGUAAAGCAAUGCAACAUUUGUGUUUUUGGAAUAGAAAAAUAGAUAGAUAUGAAUAUAAAAAUAUAGAUAUAAAAAUAUAUUAUAAAAUGUACAAGAUGUAAAAAUUGUUUUUAAAUAAAAAAAUUAAUUGGG